rnacentral:rRNA from 1 species
GAUGAACGCUGGCGGCGUGCCUAACACAUGCCAGUCGAACGAAGCGCCUUACCGGAUUCUUCGGAUGAAGGUCUGGUGACUGAGUGGCGGACGGGUGAGUAACGCGUGGGUAACCUGCCCUGUACAGGGGGAUAACAGCUGGAAACGGCUGCUAAUACCGCAUAAGCGCACGAGGAGACAUCUCCUUGUGUGAAAAACUCCGGUGGUACAGGAUGGGCCCGCGUCUGAUUAGCUGGUUGGCAGGGUAACGGCCUACCAAGGCAACGAUCAGUAGCCGGUCUGAGAGGAUGAACGGCCACAUUGGAACUGAGACACGGUCCAAACUCCUACGGGAGGCAGCAGUGGGGAAUAUUGCACAAUGGGGGAAACCCUGAUGCAGCAACGCCGCGUGAGUGAAGAAGUAUUUCGGUAUGUAAAGCUCUAUCAGCAGGGAAGAUAAUGACGGUACCUGACUAAGAAGCUCCGGCUAAAUACGUG